rnacentral:rRNA from 1 species
UGGGGAAUAUUGGACAAUGGGCGAAAGCCUGAUCCAGCCAUGCCGCGUGUGUGAAGAAGGUCUUUGGAUUGUAAAGCACUUUAAGUUGGGAGGAAGGGCAGUAAGCGAAUACCUUGCUGUUUUGAUGUUACCGACAGAAUAAGCACCGGCUAACUCUGUGCCAGCAGCCGCGGUAAUACAGAGGGUGCAAGCGUUAAUCGGAAUUACUGGGCGUAAAGCGCGCGUAGGUGGUUCGUUAAGUUGAAUGUGAAAGCCCCGGGCUCAACCUGGGAACUGCAUCCAAAACUGGCGAGCUGGCGUAGGGCAGAGGGUGGUGGAAUUUCCUGUGUAGCGGUGAAAUGCGUAGAUAUAGGAAGGAACACCAGUGGCGAAGGCGACCACCUGGGCUCAUACUGACACUGAGGUGCGAAAGCGUGGGGAGCAAACAGG